rnacentral:lncRNA from 1 species
GUCACACAGUGUCGUUCUGCUGUAUUUUCCUGAUGAGAAUUGAGUUGCUAAGGGUCACCCAUAUGCAAAGGAAGGGGAAUUGUUUUCCGCCGUUUGAUGUGAGGAAUGUCAGAGAACUUGCACCCGGUUUUCCCUACUGUGGCCUUCAUUAUUCCCCUCCUCCCUGUGCCUAGCACAGAGCCUUGAACAAAAUAUUAGCCAAAAUUGUCAGUUGAGUUGAAUUGCCUUUUGGUUUGGCAUAGACCUGGGUCUGGAGGAUAGCUUGGUGUGAACCCACUUUCUUCUACUUAUGUCAUUCAGAAACACAAAACUCUCAGAGAAGUAAUUGAUUUUGUGUCUCUGGCCGUCCACAGCUUGGGAUUUGGGUAGGUCAAGGUAACUGUCUGUACUCUGUCCCCAGUGUCCCUGCCAAGCUUUCCCCCAGUGCUCCGUAACCUGGGGUCCUGUGGUUCAAUCAGACAGGCGCCUGCACCGUCUCACGGUGGGGACAGCCCCGUUCUACCUCCUGGCCUUUGCUCAGUUGGUUCUCCCGGCCUGGGAUGUCCUCUCCUCUUCUUUCCACUUCCCAAGUGCUCUCCAGCCUUCACGACCCACCUCGAGGAGCUUUCUCUCUCGGCCUUUCCCUCUCACCCCCAGCAACCCCUUCCCCACCAUCGCCUCAGAAGAGAAGAGACUGGCAGACUUGUAUCUCCAAAGCUGCAGCCCCGAGCCCUUAGGGAGCCCAGGGCAGCAAACAGUUGCCCUGGCACCAGGCGGGGGCAGUGGCUGAGCGAGGAAAGCUGGCGGCCAGCUGGACUGCAGGAAGGACCACAGCCAGCCGGUCUAGCCGAAGGGGGCAGCUCGUGCUUCAGUUGCCAUCGGGGGAAUUAAAGGAUACCUCAUCUCUUCUUUCCAGGGAAGCAGAAAGGUACGGAUUUUCAUGUGGGAUUUCUUAAUUUGUAAAUGUUGAUGAUCAAAAGUUUAGAAUGCAGCUAAUUCCAUGGGCACACCUGUCCCACGCCUGUUCACAACUUUGGACUGAAAAGAUCUGGGGCAGAGAAAAGGAGUUUGGGGCGGGAGGGAGUUGAGGACCGCGGUGCUUCUUCUGGAGGUGAGAAAGGAUUCCCGAGGCUGGGGCAGAGCUGCGGGUGGGCGUGUCAAGGAUGGAAGGUCCAGAGGGGCCUCAAGGGUCCUCCAUCCAGUGUGAGCCCCUGAACUUGAACUUCACACCAGGGUAAACGUCCAGCACCUGAGCAGAACGGGGCUUCCUUAGAAGCUGGGUUAAGUAACAGAAAAAUAAAAUCUUACUUCUGGCUCCCCUGGUGUGGGAUGAGAUUCCUAUUCCAGAACCUUCAGUGGAGACUGGUUGGAUGGGGGUCUCUGUCUCAAGUGGGUCCCUAGGAAACACGUUGGGCAUAGAUUUGUCUGCCAAAUCCAGGCUUGCUGGAGAGGGCUCUUGGGAUCAAGGCCUCUAGUGGAGUGAAGAGAGCAGGUUGUCCCCAGAGGGAGAGUUUGAACGUGAUUCAGUUGUGACCAAGACCUCAGUCCAUCCUAUGGAGAGCUCUGGGUUCUUCCAAGGUCUUCUGAGUUGACCUAAAUGGGGGCGAGGCUGUGGGGCCACAGUGACCAGUCAUUGACUGCGAGUUGCCCUUGUGGACAGAACUUGACCUUGGCUAAGCGGGUUCUCUGCAGCUGAGGGCAAGUCCCGGAGGGGGACUCAGCCAUGAGCCCUCAGGAGCUGGCGGUGCGAGUCUUCAGUGCUGGAGCCGGGAGGAUGUAUCUGGGCCGUGCACGUAGCGUCCACCGCCCCUUGCGCUGCUCGAAUUCACUAGUUUCAUAGGAUAAGUUUUGGAAGCAGCUCCUCCAGAUUCUGUUAGGCCUCUUUUCCUGGGGAAUCUUACAGGGGGAAGGUUAGAGGGCUGAUAUUCAGCUGGUCUUGAGGGUGUAAUUGAUACUCACCAUCCUCUUCUCCACCAUCCAUUCUCACGUCCCCUCACCCUGAGCUAUCACCUCCACUGGCGGUGGCUUGGAUGGUGGGGCGACUGAGACCCUUAUCCCUGAAAGGUCUGUGCCCCUCAUCACUAUGCCCUUCUUGAUCCAUGUACCUGUUCAUUUCUUGUCAAAAUUGGGGACAGGAGAACGAAGAGAUGCCCCUGUGGACCGCUUGGGUGCCAAAUAUAUUCUUUCCUGCCCCCAUCGUGUUUCAGCAGCUGGGCUUUUUCCAAUGACCACAGUCCAUGACCUCAGCUGAGAAGGUGACUCCUCUCCUUUCCUGCUGGCCUCUGGGCAUGAGGAGCCCAAAGUGACCAGGCAGCAGCCGCAGCUUGGGGUUUAAUGGAAUCGUCACUGUGUCACUGGUGGAAGUGUUUUCUUUUCUGGAAACCAGGAUUUCUAAACCUGCAGUGUGGGGAUGGGACAUGAAAUUCUCCAACUGUGUUCCCAGAAGUGACAGUAAGUAGGGCCACUCUGGCUCUCCCUCUUUGGUUUCCAGAGUGUGUAUUCUCUCUAAUGGGGACACAGUACCAUAUGAUGCCCAUUGACUUAGGGUGCCAGGGUACGUAGUGACUCUUGGAGGAUGACCCCCCAUCCUCUCAGGGUACCCGCUCCAUUAAUUCUCUAAUGUACUCUUUACAUCGGAGGGGCUGUUCUGGCAUGCCCCCACACCACUGGACCCCUGAAUGCUUGCCCAGUCUGGUGGGUGCCUGAGCUGUCAUAGGAUUUAUCUUCCACCCUCUGGAGUGCUUGUGUCUUAUUAACGUCUCUAUCACACUUGCAACUUCUCGAUCCUCUGUUCCGAUUACAUGAUCUCCUCAAUGCAGCACACCAAGGGUGUUCUGAGGGAUCUCCAGGUGAGGUAGGUCCCUUUGGACUAUAUUAUGACAGAGGGCAGAAGAGGUAACAGAGCCCUUGGGCAGGCUCAUCAAUGUGUGCUGCUGUCCAUCCCAAGUGAAAUUGAAUUCUUUCUGAUAAGGAUGGGGUGGGGGGAAGAAAAGAAACUGCAUUUGCCAGCUUAACGGCUAUCUACCACAUAUAUGAGGUCUUGUUAAUCUGCUCGAGCAAAGAUAGGGCAUUUGGCAACAGCCAUCAGGCUACUACUUGGUGAAGUUUGAGGUGGUUCACUGUCUUCUUCCAGGACCCCUCUGCCUUUUGUAGGGGACUACCAUCCUUGCAUCUUUUAGGGUGUUAAGAGUGGCCCUAGUCUCUGCCAUUCUCCUAGCGAUGUGAUACAGGUGGGAGUAGUUUCAGGGCCUUCUGUUUGGCCAUUUCCACCAUGGCAGCUCCCACCCCACAGGCUGAGGAUCCAACGAGGAUUUUACUCCCAAGUAAAUGUAUAUCCAUUCGCAUUAUAUGUUUGGGGACUGGAGAAAUGACCACCAAUCAGCUCCAAGGAUGGACCACAAGGACCCACUGUGAGCCAGACCUGGGCCAGGCAUUCAUUUGUUACCUCAGAGGUUGAUAUUAAGGUCAAGCAAGAAAACAUAGGAGAGGAUGAUUUGUAACAUGCAAUCAGUGACCGUUACUUGUCACGUUGGAAUCAGCCACCCUGGGUUAGCAUCCUGGCACUGCCAUUAAUGAACUGUGUAUCUUUGGGCAGGUUGCCACCCCUCUGAGCUUCAAUUUGCUCACUUAUAAGUCGGGUAUAAUGACAUCUGCCUUGCAGAGCUGUCAUCAUGCAAACGAGCCACUAUAAACCAUGUGAGCGCCUGGCAUAGUUCCACACACAGCUUUUCCUGAAUGGAAGCUUUAUUUUGCCAAGAACUCUUCCCUCUCAAUGCCCAACUGCUGGGAGCUUCCCUGCCAUUGGGACUGAUGGAGCUUUACCUGAGCCCCAAAUCAGCUUUAUGUGAGACCGUCACAGCCGGGCCUGCUGGGACUCACAGGUCCCCAGCUUCUAAAUGCAGCGCCCCUUCUGGCCUGCAUGUGCUUGAAAUUUCACCAUUAGAAAGCUACACUUUGCCUCUUUUCAUCUCCAGGAAGCCCCUGUUUGGCCCUAACAUCUCCCAAUUUAGUGGCACGUCCUUUACGCUGUCCAAAGCACUUAUCGGUCCUUCCAACACCCUUGGGAAGUAGAUCAGAUACUUGCCCAAAGUCAUUUAGCCAGAAAAGGAGGAGCUGGGAUUUGAACCCAACACUCCUGGGGAAGAGGGUCUCAGGUGGAGGCGGUCUGAAUCGUUACCUCCAAGACUAUGUUGUCCCUUUGUCUGGCAAAGUGCAUCCUACCACUCCAGGUGAGGGACAAGCAGGUCAAUCCAUAUCAAUUAAAAUUAAACACUAAAAGUAUACCCUGUGUCUCGAGUGCCCUGUCUACACCCCAUCUGCUCCAGAGCAGUGCUGGCCCGGAGAACUGUAUGACAAGAGCCAUAUGUACGUUGAAUAACUUGCCCACAUUCACACGUUUGUUCAGCAGCGGAGCCUGGAACAGAGCCCAGGCCACAGGAUUUCGAGCCUGAUCCCAAGCCCUUAACCACUAGACCACACUGCCAUCCAUGUAAUCAACAUUUUAGGAGAUCUUUACAGAGUGAAGCAUGGAGGGGGUGCCGCAGGCAAGGGGAACAGCCCACGCAAAGGCCCGGAGGGAUGCAGCGGCUCUGUGUGUUCAGGGUAGCUGGAGCACAACGUGAGAGAGCUCAUGGAGAUGAGACGAGGGGCAGACCAGGAUUGCCUGGGGAAGGCCCAGCUCACCCCCCGAGAUGUUUCCAGUGAUGCUUAGGGCACUGCCUCCAGCUGAGAACAUCUCCCCAGGGAGUCUGAAGCUGGAACUUGGGGUUCAUCUGAAAGUGCACUUCUUCACCCUGCCAGGCCUUGGGGAACAGUGUUCGAGUGUCCACCAUCACCCCAGCUGCAGAUAACACCAGGCUUCAUUGCCAAGGGAGCAGGCAGCAGCAUUGCCUCCGGCCCUGUGUCCGGGACAGAACCAAGCACGCGGGUUGGAAUCCUGGUACUGCCGUUAACGGCUGAGCUUCCAGGGCUGCCUCUUCUCCGGCACGUAUGUGGUUCUAGCGGUAACCUGAUAAGUGCGUCUGUGUUUCUGGGUUAAAAAAACAAACAAGUAGAAACACUUCCCAACCAGCCUAGACCGGGGAGGCAGAGAGGUGCAACCACAAGUGUGGCUUUGGAGGAACAGAUCUGAGACAGUGCCAGCAUCUGCCUGUGCCGUCUGCAGGGCUUGGGCCCGUCUCCUGACUUCCUGAAUGCUCAGUUUCUCCAGAUGUGAGUUGGCACCCAAAAUAAUCCUGUUGACAUCUGGCUGUAAAUGUAGGGGGCGCAGCCCAACACAUAAGCACGUGUCCAAUAACGGUAACUGCUGGCCUGACUCUUGGGAGGUGCUGACCAGGUCAGAUCCUUCUGCAAUCUCAGGUCAGAUUCUUCCAGAACCUGAGCCAAGGAUUUGGGCGCCAGGAAUUUAUUAAGGCAGUGUGUCCAGGAGAACCUAGAGGGGAGUGGGGAAAGCAGGAGAGGGAGGAGAAGAAGCCCCCCAGAGGAGGUUUCGGGUGAAGUGGCAGCCUCGGCCUGAGCCUGUGAGGAGCUCUGGGCUUGGCUCACCUGCAGGCAAAGGAGCUGCUGUUUCUCCUCCACAUCAGUCAGUUAUUGGCCACAGGCUGCUGGAGUCGGGUAGGGGAUGGAGAGCUCCCGGGCACUUCCAGCUCUCCGUAAGGGUCAGAGUCACAGGGGUCAGCCCUAAGCAGCAAAGCAUGCAGAAGCCAGGGGAAGGACGCCCAGAGCUGGUAAAAGGCCUGGGGGAGAUCUGCAUGAACUUGAGUUUCCUCACUUACCCUAAGGGCCUUCCUCGUGCUCAGGCCGCUGGAAUCAGGGCCCAUUGCCUUGCAGAGAAUAAAGUUGACAAAACCUUGACUUUUGAGUUUGAAAGCCUGUGUCAGGUGUAAGACGGAAGAUGUUUGGAAGGAAAUGUGAUCUAGUUUCUUCCCCCAAGGGAACUGGCUGGCCUCUGGGGAGGCCCCCUAGUCGCUGGAUCUGACUCUAGGUUGGUGUUCUUUCCAGGGAUGUAGGAUCAAGCAGUGGCUUCCUCUACUGUUGGAGGCAGCUAGUGGUCCUCAAGGGUUAGAUGCCUUGGCUAAGGGCACAGAACUGCCAAGUAGAGCUGGGAUUGGAACCUGUGACGACAGUGCUUAUAUUCAUUAUCUAAUGCUGCGUUACAAAGCACCCCAAAACUUAGUGGUUUAAAAUAAACAUUUACUAUCUCACAGUUUCUGUGGGUCAGGAAUCUGGGAGCAGCUUAGUUCGGUGGUUCUAGCUCGGAGUCUCUCGUGAGGUUGUGCUCAAGCUGUUGGCCAGGGCUACAGUCAUCUGAAGGCUCCAUCAGGGCUGGGGGAUCCAAUAGCAACCAGGCUCACUCACACUGCUGGCGACUGGAGGCCUCAGUUCCUUGCCAUUGGGCUUUUCACAGGGCUGCUUGAGUGGAGCCCGGAUAUGGCGGCUGGCUUCCCCUGGGGCAAGCAGCCCAAGAGAGAAAGCAAAGAGGAAGCUAUAAUGCCUUUCAUGUCCCAAUCUUGGGCAUCACACACCAUCAUUCUGCCAAUUCUUGUUUGUUAGGAGCAAGUCAUUAAGUAUUCCCAUAUUUCAGAGAAAGGGAAGCAUUUUUUAAAGGGAGAAGUAUCAAAGAAUUUAGGGACAUGUCGUAAAGCUACCACCAUGCAGUACAGCUGUUCCCCGCCGGCUGCUCACAGCCAUGGUAGUGGGGAAAGGGGGGCUACUCUCCCAGGGUCCAACUCGGCAUGCGGUUUCCAAGUGUAAGGAAGUUUUAAAUCAGUUCUCCCAUUUUAGAAUUCACAAGAAUUCCUCGAGAAUUAUAGAUUCUUGGGUCCCUCCCUCCAGAAAUUCCAAGUCUAUAGAUCUAGGUUUGAGGUCAGCAGUUUGCAUUUUUGCAGCCUCCAUGGUUGAUUUUAAAACUGCGCACGGAAAACCACUUGGCAUAUUUUGUAAGAUUUUCCAUGAAUGCUUCUGCCCAUGCUCACUGAAAGCUCUCUCCAGGUGACAAUUAAUUAGAGUCCAGUAGUCAAGGUGUCAAAACUAGGAGUAAGUUUGGUUUCUUUUUUCCCCCUCAAUACAUUUUUUUUUUUAAAGAUUGUCACCUGAGCUAACAUCUGUUGCCAAUCUUCCUUUUUUCUUUUCUUCUUCUUCUUCGUCUCCCCAAAACACCCCAGUACAUAAUUAGUUGUAUAUUCUAGUUGUAGGUCCUUCUAGUUCUGCUAUGUAGGACGCUGCCUCAGCAUGGCCUGAAAAGUGGUGCUAGGUCUGUGCCUGGGAUACAAACCUGCAAAACCCUAGGACGCCAAAGCGGAGCAUGCGAAAUUAACCACUUGGCCAUGGGGCCAGCCCCAACACUUUUUCUCUUAAAGCCUCUCUCUGUGUUAGAAAAAAUUUACUAGGAGUGUAGGUUCCUGAGAAGAUAUGGUAUAAUUCUUUUAUUUGAUGAGAGCAGCAUAAGUCACUUUUCCCCUUGCCUGCUAGGAGACUCAGAGCAAGAUUUUCUGUAAGUUGUAGUGCUCUUUCUAAAUCAGGAUUUCUGAUACAAGAAACUCCUGCCUCCUGCCAAGCAAACACACAUGGGCUUCAUUCCAAGGCUAUUGUUGUUUCAUUCCUGGCCUUAAUAGUAGUUUGUCUCUUUGUUUCUUAUUGUAAACAGCAGCCUCCAGUCCUUUCAGAAGUAUGCAGAGUAAAACCAGUAGUCACUUACCCGAUGCCUGAGAACUGGAGGUGCUUCCCAGGGGCCGGGAUAAUCUGUCUGUGCUUCUGUGGGAGGGUUAAAGUAGAGGAUAAAGCCACAGAGAGGGUGUGGGCCUCCGCAGAACAGCAAGCCGAGCGCCACCCUUAAAGGCAGAGCUGGGUGGGUCCCAGCUCGAGGGUGGCGAGUGGAUGGUGUAACCAGUGUGUUGGGAAUGGGUGUUGGCUGAUUCUGAUCCCGAGCAGGCCGGGCGAGUCGGCAGGGAAGGCAUGUCCUGACUCAUCCAUGUCUCGGUUUCUCUUAGGGUGGAGGGCUGCCCCCAGGGGCUGGGGAAUCUGGAAAGAAAAAGAAAAAGACAAUGAAGCUUAAUAUGAAGCCCGUGGGAACAGGAGUCCCAGCCUGUGACAAGGGCUCCUGGCCUCUCUCAUUCCAACAUUCCACCACCAGCCGUUUAUGGAGGACCUAUGAAGUGUAACCCUGCACUAGGGGCUGGAUUUGGGGCCAUUAGGAUAUCUGCCACGCCAGAGACUCAGGCCACCAACUUCUUAUUCUUGGACCUGCCUUGGAGGACAUCUGCCUGAAGCUGAGAGAAUCAGGCGUCCUGCCUCCCGUUUUCCCGGGGAUUUCCAGCUCCGGCUCUUCAGCCUCAGCUAGGUGACGUGGGGCAGGUACCUGAGCCACUGCCUCUAUAGAAUGAGCGCGUGAGGUUGGGGUGGAAAGCAGGGGACCCUGAGCUGAACGUCUUCCCUCCUGUGUGCUGGCAUCGGUUCCUCCUCCCCUGGCAGUGUGAGGGCUGGACGUGCAUAUGAAAGCCUAGUGGGAACAGAAGCCUUGCCUGGGCAUCUCUCCACGUGCCCAGCCCUGGGCUGCUGGCUCAGGCCGCCCCCAGAAUGGGUUCACCAGCAGGUGCAGGGCCAGAGGGACCCCACCUGCCUUGGAGCCAAGAGCAUCUGUGUUGCAUCCCCGCUCCUGCCCUUCAUCAAGAAGCCCUAGAGCCAGCAUUCUCACCAGCCCUAUGGACGGGGACUUUUCCCUUUAAAUGGAGCGCCAGUCCUAAGUGGCCUGGGGAGGCAGAAGCUCGGUUCUGAGCAGGUUCAUUCGGUCCAUCUUUCUGAGGGGCCCCAAAUGGGGAUUCACCUGCUGAAAGAAGAAACAACCCCAAACCCUAGGAUUCCAAAUGUGACACACAAGUGAUGAAACUCUAAGUGGGUUUUUACGCCCAAACCAAAGGUGCCAGAAGUUACUGCUGACAAAACCAAGGCCUGGCCAGCUGGCUCGGGUGGGCAGGGGGACAGGACAAAUUCUGGCCCCUCGUAGCUGGAAGACUGUGGGCAAGUCACUGGCUAUGUUGGGAGCUUCAAGCCCUCCCAGUAACAUAGGGAAAAUUCUGUCUCCCGUAGAGUUGUCCCAAGGAUUCAGGGACACAGGUGUGGGUGUACCGGGUGCCAGUACAGGGCUCUCACUGGGAUUAGCUCUCCUCUGCCUUCCAGGAAAAUGAAGAGCAGGAUCUUGGGACUCCAUUCUCGAGGGGGGAUAAAGAGCUGUUUUGGGCUCUGCUAGAUAUAUUUUGGGAAAUUAAGUCAUAGACUCACAAGCACUCUUCAAAAUGUACCACUUCAGAACAUGGUAGCAUCAAAGGAUCCCUAAUCUACAAUGUUGGCAUUUUCCCAGACACUGGUCCAGCCCUGGAGGGCAGACAAUUUCCUGUCCUUAUUUAAAGAGUGAACUGCACUUGGUGGGCCUCCGUAGAAAUAACUCCCAGUCUGUCAUUACUGCUGAGCAUAAAAGGCGUUAAUUACCUGACGCCCGAUGCCCACGGGGCUGCUAAGUGCUGUCCUCGCUGUACAGGGCAGGGAAUAGAGGGAAGUGUGAAGAGGCUUGUCGGGGUCUUCCAGGAGGAGACAGAGCCCCAGGGAGGCCCUCGCUGGGGCUGGCCUGGUUUUCCUGGGACCUCGGUUAACAAGCCCACUUCAAAAUGAGGGAUUGCAGCUGGAAGAAUGACCUGAGCUGCAAAACUUUGGCUUCCACAUUGUUCUAGGCCCUCUUCCCUCUCAAAUGAGUGCACCGAACAACCUUUUGUCUUAAUAAUACGAACAUAUUCUUACUUUCCUAGUCACUAGCAGAGGAAAAAAUGCACCUUUGCUGGGAAAUUGUGAUGGCAGGCCUGGUACAGGGAGGGAAGCUGGUGUGAGAAGCAGUGGGGAGGGCUGGGGAGCACGAAGGAAGGGAGGAGUGGGGUGUGCAAGGCCCCCCCUCCCCGUGAAGUGACCUUUCUGUUUCAUUCCUCCAACUCGAGCAAGAUCUGCGGGAAUCGUGACGUGCUGGGAGUAGGGUGGGGGGAGGGGAGUCUUUUGUGGAAGCUGGCGUACGGCCACAGCCUGGGUAUGAGAGGAUGUGAGGACAAGACACAGUUGGCAGGAUGGAUGAGUGCACUGCUGACCCCUGGCCAGUCUCUGCCCUCACAGUGCCCCUGUCUUGAGGAAGAGAAGCUCGUAACUUGACCGCAGUCCCCAGAUGCAGGCUGCUUUGGUGGCUCCGAGGCUGGAUGAUCUUCCAUGGAGACAUCCAUUAUGUCUUGCCCUUGCAAGGAAAGAAGAAAGAAAAGGCCCUUUCCCCGUUGCCCUCUCCCCAAAUGCCUGGGUCUGCGCUCUAUGGGUCAGGCCAGGGUUGAAGGUGGCUGCAGGAGCCGGGCAAGGAACCGUGGAUGACAGCCAGGAAGGAGAGAACUGGAAGGAGGGUUGUCCUGGGCAUCAGCUGGGCCCCAGGUUGCAAGAUCUGAUUUUUCAAGAGUAGCUGGACAUUUAGACGAAAUCAUGGGACAUAAAAAUGUUGGUAACGCAUUAAAAAAAUGGUAGAAACAUUUUUUUGCCAAACAAUACCCCAUUGGUGUCCAUGAACAGAUGAAUGGAGAGCAAAGUGAUAUAUCCACACAAUGAAAUAGUACCCAGCUAUAAAAAGGAAUGAAGUACUGCUACACGCUACAAUAGGGACAAACCUCGAAAACACGAUGCUAAGUGAGAGAAGCCAGAGGUAAAAGGUCACAUAUGGUGUGAGUCCAUUAUAUGAAAUGCCCAGAAUAGGCACAUCCAUAGAGACAGAAAGCAGACUGGUGGGGUGCCAUGGGCUGGGGGCUGGAGGAAUGGGGAGUGACUGCUUACUGGUUCCUAGAAUUUUCUUUUAAGGUGACGGAAAUUUCUUCUAGGGUUUUGGAACUAGAUGGAGAUGGCGGUCGCACAACAUUGUAAGUGUACUCCAUACCACUAGUUCAUUCUUAAAUGGUUAAUUUUGCUAUGUGAAUUUCGCCUCAAAAAACCCCCAAAGAAAAAGCCAAUAACCAUCUGCCUCCAUCGCACACACAUGCGCACACACACACAGAAGCACCCUGUUAGCAGCCACUCUCUGCUUCAGGGGUCCAGGUGGUGAGGGGCCUCACUCAGGCCUUCCUUUCCAUCAAGGAAAGAACACAGUGGUGUCCUGAAGGGCAGGGGCCUGUGGAAGCUGGAGGACAAUAGGGGAGUGGCCUUAGCUGACCCAGGGGAGCAGGGCAACUGGAGCCUGGGCAUGAAGCACAGACGGCUCAAGCACAGCAAGGGUUCCCAGGCAGGGUUGCCCAUGGAGACACUGUGUGAUGGGCAUCCAUGGUCACGGGGAGCAGCGCUACCAGGUCAAAAGUGGCGAGAAGCACUUGACAGCAGCCUCGAGUAGCAGAAGGAGCCACAGUAACGUCGGUGUCCACCAGGGACAAAGACUGGCCCUCUCCUGUUUUCCCAGCACUGCACACACCCUGGAGUUUUGGUAGAAUCCAAAGGAGGUGUGGAGAUGACUGACACGGCACACCCUUCAGGUGAGGGCACUUAGAGUCACAUUUAAUUUGACUUAGAAAAACAAAGACACGUGGUGCCAGUUCCAGAGAACCAGACAAAGAGCCCUGGGAAGCAGAGUCUAUGGGGAAGAAGGCAGGGCAGGUAUAGCUGGCCAAACAUUUUUGGUGACAAGUGACAGAAAACUCAAGUAAACUGGUUUCAGGAAGGUGGGUAUGGGCGUGAGUGCAGGGAAUAACUGGCUCAAAUAACAUGAGGGUCCCGGGGUGUGCCCCUGGGGGCACUUUCAUCAGGGCUUGAUCACCACCAGGACCCAUCUUUUUAUUUUUCCUUCCCUUCAUAUUUGCUCCUUUCCCACACAAGCUCUCUCCUGGGAUCACCAGAAGACGGCAACAGCCUCCCACAUCUCUCAGCUCCAAGUCUGACAGCAGCUUCUGACUCAGCCAGAGCUGCCCGGAGUCUCAGCGUGUGCAGUCCCUGCGCCAUCUUGGUGGUCAGUGGAGCGUAGCACUCACACCCACACCGCAGUCCCAGAGCGGGGUCGGGCUCAGCCUUCCUCCAACAGUUGCGCCAGAACCAGGGAGUGCGUGGUUCUCCAAUGGAUGUUGGGGACUAUCUCUGGAGGGAGGGUGAAUGGAUGCUGGGUGGUCAAACAAGCAACCAAAAAGCUCUAUCUGGGAAGGGUUCCUGGAGGAGGUGACAUCCAAACUGAAGGAUGAAGAGAGAGAUCUGGGGAGAGACUGUGAGACUGGCUGGUGGAAACAGCAUGGGCAAGUGAAGCAGGGCACGUUCAGGGAGUCUUUGGUCUCUGGGGGCACGCAGUGCACGUGGGAGUGCUGAGAGGUGACAUUCCCAAGGUUGGGGGGCCAUCAUCGAGGGCUGGGAUCACCAGGCCAAAAGCCUAUCAGCUUAUCCUGAGGACAAUGGGGAGCCACGGAAGGAUUUUAAGCAGGGAAUUAACAUGGUCACACUGCAUUAAAGAAAGACCAGUCCAGCGCUGUGGGCAAUCUCCCACCAUCUGUCGUAUAUACAAAGACAUCCUCGUUAAGGGCCUGCUAUACCCAUCCACUAGGAAACGCUCCUUUAUUCUAGCGAUUUCCAUCCACAAGUUUAGAUAUAUUUUUGAAAAGACAUUUUAAUUUAUAAAAUACUUCAAAGGUACAGAGAAUUAUGUACCAACUACUCAGAUUUCACAGAAGUUAACAGUUGCUCCAGAUGUUAUUUCAUUCUGGAAAUAUGAAUACUGAUACGACACUUCUCUCCCUUCCUGCCCCGAGGUAACCAACACUCCAAAGGUAGUGUCAAUGCUUCCUAGGUGUGUUUUUAUACUUUUGCUACAAACAUCAUACAUAUGUAUACAUAAGUGUGCCUUGAGCACUUUUUCUUUUACAUCUCAUUGAAAUCUAUCUAAAAAUUCCUUCUUUCUUAAUUGCUUGCUGCACAAAGACCAGAUCUUCUCUACUGAGUUGAAAUGCAGCAUUGACACAGACACUGAGAUAAUUAAUGUCCACAAAAUGUUUGGGCCUGACAUAUCCAGAGAAGCCAGGCAAAUGUCUGCCUUGCCUCACGAGAGCUGAUAAUAAGCACCGUCUUCCGUGUGCUUGGUUGCUGUGGUCCUGGCGUAAAUCCCAGGAAGGGUCAAGCCAGUCAUCUAAACCCUCUGUCAAAGUUCACAUCUUUCAAGAGGGUCUUGGGUCAGUAUCAAGAUCUUCUGGGACCUCCACUCUUAGCAUCCUUUUAUCUCCUCUCCCCUACACCCUCGAGAAGAAUCCUUUGAACUGUGUUAGAACCUUUCUGCGCUCCCUGUAAUGGACAUUUUCAAGGGCUGUGUGCAGCUGUGGUGCUUGCUGAGGCCUUUCAGGCAGCAAGGAAAACGCAUACCUGGAGUGUGUGUCAGUCGUGGACAAGAUGGAUCACCAUCCGUCUCAGGGCGGAUCCUCAGGGUGACAGGAGCUGGAUGAACCUUGGUAAGUGAGCUCAUGCUGUUGGCCCAUGCACAGACUCCAUCUCCUCCAUGGGGCUGCUCCAUAACGAGCCCACUGUGCACACACUGGGUGGUUGGGGACACAGACUGACUGACAUCUACGGGCCAAAUCAUCCUGUUCACUCAAUCACUUCGCGCCUCUUCUGCAGCAGAUAGUCUCUGAUGGGCAUUAACAUGCAGCACAGAAAUCCUGACAAUUGGUACCUACGCCCGGAGCUCCAUCAUAAGCCUCUUCCAGGGAACUUCUUGUCCCUAUCUUCCAGUCUUGCUCCUCCCAGGCCCCUGUUCACCCAGCUGAGCCUUCCUCACUGCUCAUACAUCUCUGUAUAUUCUUAUCUCAGGCCACUCUCUUUCCACGCGAAGUGGAUGACCAGGUGCACUUUGCCCAAGCCCCGCCCAUCAGGAGAUUUCCCUUCCUGCUAUCUUUCACUCCUGCAUCGGGCUGCAGGGCAACAGCAGUCCAUUCCACCUGGUACCCACACGAGGAGCUAACCCACACAGGAACCAAGCUCGGGCCUUCCUUUUCCUCUCCUGUCAGCUGGUCACAGGGACCCCUCAUGGGGCCACAGGGGUGAGCUGAGGGAGAGACAUGAGUGCAACAGCGAUGGGUGGUUUGAGGGUCCCCAACACCUGGUCAUGCAGCCUGUUUGUGCCCUCUGGCCCUGUUUAUGCUUGAUCCUGGAUAUACCACUUCCAUCUUACGAUGGAUUGCUGCUUAGGCCUGCCCACUUUAUGAAUGGAUGGGUCUGAUAUCACCCAGCUCAAAAUAUUACCCAGCUCAUGAUGGCUGCAGGGUCAUUUGAUGUCCCAUGUCAUACGGUCCGUCCCUACCAGAGUGCAGUAAUAUGCUGGGUGCUUUUUUUGAGUGGCAUAUAGUUCUUUUCUGCAGUUGUUUGACCUUGCUCCAGAACCCUAUGAGUCUGUGCUGUGCCUCUCCUGUUGGGGCUUGCCAGAGGCUCCACAUAGCAUCUUUUUCUACCACAGAUCCUUGCAGUAGCCUGGGAUCUUCCAGGUCAUAUGACCCAUGCAGCAGAGCUGCAAGUAUUACAACCAGGACCUGCUGCAGAGCCCUUCUUGUUUUGGUCCCCACUCAUAACUAUCAAUUUUUAUCCUCACUCCAAAAAUGGAUUAGAGUUUUUUUCCUCAAAAUGCUACCUCCAAAACCCAAAGAGGUGUAUGCAGCCUUGUGCUUCUCUUGUCGAGGCAGAAGAUGCAAAAGACAAAAAUUUGUCUUUUACUUUGAAUGGAAUGUCCCCCUGUGUCCCAGAACCAUUGGGUCCCUGAGUCUCUGUAGUAUUUAUGACCCAUUCUUUGAAGUGACUGUACACCUGAGGUGCUUGCCACGUCUUGGACAUCCUGUCCGAUUAACAUAAAGUCAUCUAUAUAAGAGAUUAGUGAGAGAUUCUGAGGAAUAUCUAGAGGGUUUAGGUCCCUUUAGAUUCUCUUGUGACAGAGAGAAGGUGAAUUAACACAGCCCUAGGGCAAGACCAUGGGCAUAUGCUGCUGUUCCCAUGUGAAUGCAAACUGAUCUGCACGGAACAGAGUGCACUGGCCAGGUCAACAGGUACACGCCACUCACCAGAGGCCGUGUUGAUCUGCUCAGGUAGAGAUACCAUAUCCAGCAUAGCAGCUGCAAUGGGGCUACUGUUUGGUUAAGUUUGUGGUAGUCUGUUGUCAUCUGCCACGGUCAGUCUGAUUUUUGCCUGGGGCGGGCUGUUGAAUUAAAUGGGGAUAUACUGGGGACAACCACCUUUCAGGUCUUUGAGGAUGGCCUAAUCUCUGUGGUCCCCCUGAAGUGUGAUAUCAUUCAUGAUUUCCUGUCUUAGUAGAGGUAGAUAUGGUUUCCGAAGCUUCCAUUUAGUCUUUGCUACAACAUAGCUCUUACUCUACUGGUCAAGGAACCAAUGAGAAGAUUCUGUCAACUACCAAGUCCCUUGCAAUUAAACAGUUGAGAGCUGGAGAAACGACCACUGGAUAGGUCCAUGGACCCAGUGGACCCACUGUGAGAUGAACCUGGCCUAGGGCUUCAUUUAUUACCUGACUCCUACGUGCCCAAAUCUAAUAUGGGGACCAUGAUGGCUCUUUGCUCCCAAGAGAUCUGCACAUUUCUCUUUCCUCAUUGUGUAAUUACCUGAAUAACAUCCAUGGGCUUCUUUGGGGAAGGACUGAGGAAUCACCACUGUAUCCAGGUGGCAUGAUUUUGCAGGAUUCUUCCUCACGGGAACCUGACGUCUCCUUUAGUUGAUGGGUUCUGGGUCUGAGAACUGGCUCAAGUCUGGAAACUGAGCAAGGGAUUGUGACUCUAUAUUAAGGAGGCUGACCUUGUCCUUCUGCUCAUCCUUGGUCACUUUUGAUUAUAUAUAUAAAGCAAUGCCCAUCUAUCUCGCACUAGGGACAUCAUCUUAUAUUAUCCAUUUCCAUAGAUCUCUGCAGGUCAGGCCCCCCCGGUUGCCAUUCCAAAUUUGUCAUCCAUUAUGGUAAUUACUCCCACCUUGAUUCUGAUGGCUAAGUGCUGUCACUUCUACUCUGCUAUUUCUAGAUCCCAUCAUCCCUGUUGUUCCCAGGAAGCCCAGCUCUGUAAUAGCACCUCUUACAUUUAUCCUCUUCUUACAGUGGACAGUCAGCACUGAGCUUCUCCACAAUUCUGGUGCACCCUUACCAGAACUUUCCUUACUGCCUUAGUAAAUAGAGUGACCACCAGGCCUUGAAAGGAACAUAAUCAGCUAGGGGGUCUUUCAGUCUUAUGUAUUAGACCCAUUCUAGCUGUCCACUUUCUGAGUCUUUUGAUCCAUUUCUCUAGAAUCUUCCAUGGCAGUUUUGGCAUUUCAACCUCAUUUAACGUGAGUGUUGCUCUUUCCAAGCUUCCAAGAGUCAUCUCAGCAGGACAAGUCCCUAGAACCUUCUCUGGGUGUUAAAUCCAGUGUCAUGAGAGAGUGUGCUCAUAUCAAGAAACUCUUCCUUAUUCAGUUUAUAUUCUGACCCCCUUGAUCCAGCACUGUGAGGGGUCUUCUUCCAGGCAUAUUCUUCUAGAUCCUGCUUACACAUAUUAGCCAAAACCCAACCUUGAAUACCCUAUACAUACAACAGACUCUUGAUCAAUAUGGGUGAAAGAAUAACGAAUAUAGUUGGAUUAUUGCACAGUUAUAAUAAAAACAGAAGACAAUAUUGUAGCAAUACCAGUAGUUAUGAAAAAGAACACUGAAAACGUUUUUCUUUACUUGGGUGGAUCUGAGUCAGAACAGGCUUGAAAUCCCAGCUCUUCACUUACUAACUGUGUCAUUCUGGACACGUUGCUUAUAAGUCAGGGCUGUGUGUGAUCUGAACGUCACUUGGGGCCUUCCUGCCCCUUGGAGAUUCAGUACAUUUGACUUAAACAUCCCAUGUGGUGGGUUAGGUAAUUCAGAGCUUUCCUCAUAGUUUCUGCACGUUCCAAUUCCAAAUCUUUUUUUUAAAAAAAAGCUUUUUUCUUUAGGCUACUCUCUGUCUCCACACUCCAAGUCUGACGCAGAGGUGAACUUAGCCCCAUCACUCUUUUCCAUAGGAAAUCCAACCUUUUUCAACAUCUCUCAAGUCUGGAAACUUCACUGAAGAUUUGAGGGGUUAUGCAGAGGUGCUCAUCCCACCCCGGGACCAUCUGCCAUCUGGGUGGCUCCAGAUCAUCUUCCCUUUUCCACUUGGUUGUCUUCCAAAGUUCUCCCCUCCCCUUCCCCCACCCAUUCCACAAACCCUUAGAGAACACACUCCUGUCUCCUUAUGACUUCUCUCAUGAGAGCCAUAUGCCCCUACCCUGCCCCCAAGCCACUGCUCUGUUUUAAAGCCUUCCCUUGAAUUCCAGGGAAGAAAAUUUCUCCAUCCCAUUUCUUGAAUUAAAAAAAUCUCAAAUAGACUGGGCACACAGCACCAUGAACAUGCUUUUGGCUGUAGAGAUUCUCAGUAGUGCUUUCUGA